GGAGAGAUGGCAGAGCGGUUGAAUGCGGCGGUCUUGAAAACCGUUGGGCACGCGAGUGUCCCGGGGGUUCGAAUCCCCCUCUCUCCGCCA
rnacentral:tRNA from 1 species